UUAAACCUGCAGUGUACGAUAUUCAAGAACACAAAUUGUAUCCACAAAUUUAAGAAAGGGAGCGGACGUCCAAAUGGCAAUACGCAAAGCCUGUGGUUGUGUCACCGACAGACCUAUAUGACAGGAAGACGGAAGUGUCAGGCUAUGCACCCACCUGCAAAAACGCGGGUUAAAUUUUGUUCUUAGUCGGCACAGGCGGGGAAAAU
rnacentral:other from 1 species